GCGGGCUUAGCUCAGCUGGUUAGAGCAUCUGAUUGUGGUCCAGAGGGUCAUGGGUUCGAAUCCCAUAGCCCGCCCCA
rnacentral:tRNA from 1 species